rnacentral:rRNA from 1 species
UACGUAGGGCGCAAGCGUUGUCCGGAAUUAUUGGGCGUAAAGAGCUCGUAGGCGGCUUGUCACGUCGGGUGUGAAAUCCCGGGGCUCAACCCCGGGCCUGCAGUGGAUACGGGCUGGCUAGAGGCAGGCAGGGGAGAACGGAAUUCCUGGUGUAGCGGUGAAAUGCGCAGAUAUCAGGAGGAACACCGGUGGCGAAGGCGGGUCUCUGGGCCGAUACUGACGCUGAGGAGCGAAAGCGUGGGGAGCGAACAGG